rnacentral:rRNA from 1 species
AUACGGAGGAUCCGAGCGUUAUCCGGAUUUAUUGGGUUUAAAGGGUGCGCAGGCGGCCAUUUAAGUCAGCGGUUAAAUCGUGGGGCUCAACCCCAUUCUGCCGUUGAUACUGGGUGGCUGGAUUGCGGUCGAGGUUGGCGGAAUUCGUUGUGUGGCGGUGAAAUGCAUAGAUAUGACGAAGAACACCGAUUGCGUAGGCAGCUGACCAGACCGCAAAUGACGCUCAUGCACGAAAGUGCGGGGAUCGAACAGGAUUAGAUACCCUGGUAGUCCGCACAGUAAACGAUGAAUACUUGUUUUCGGCGAUAUAAUGUCGGAGGCAAAGCGAAAGCGAUAAGUAUUCCACCUGGGGAGUACGCCGGCAACGGUGAAACUCAAAGGAAUUGACGGGG